rnacentral:rRNA from 1 species
CCCUUAGAUGUCCUGGGCUGCACGCGCGCUACACUGACACGUUCAACGAGUUUUGCCUGCUCCGAUGGGACUGGGUAAUCUUAUGAAAGCGUGUCGUGAUGGGGAUAGAUUAUUGCAAUUAUUAAUCUUCAACGAGGAAUUCCUAGUAAGUACAAGUCAUCAGCUUGUGCUGAUUACGUCCCUGCCCUUUGUACACACCGCCCGUCGCUCCUACCGAUUGGGUGAUCCGGUGAAUAACUCGGACUGCAGCUAUUCGGGAGACCGUUAGCUUGUGGAAAGUUUAGUAAAUCUUAUCACUUAGAGGAAGGAGAAGUCGUAACA